rnacentral:misc_RNA from 1 species
GAGACGUUACGUCAUUCAGUUGAGAUUCGUAGCUUAAUAACAGCCGACUUCCAAAGUCAGCAAUAUUAAAUACAAUCACAUCUGAAGGCAUAACACUUUUUUCACGUGACCAAGAAUAAAGAUACGUGUCGAAAGAUAUGGAGAAAUGAUGCAACGAUAAUUGAGCUUAUUUGGUAGAGCAAUCCUGUCAACUUUCUGGCUCAAAGUGUAGGCGACAGGUGUGGUUAACAAAGAAUAUUUCGUAAUAGAUUUUUGCAUGUUACGGUCGUGUCAACG